UUUUAGGGCCACACCACAGCAUAUGGAAGUUCCCAGGCUAGGGGGCGAAUCGGAGCUGUGGCCACUUGGCCUAUGCGACAGCCACAGCAACAUCAGAUCUGAGCCUCAUCUGCAACUUUUACUGCAGCUCAUGGCAGUGCUGGAACACUGACCCACUGAUCAAGGCCAGGGAUGGAACCUGCAUCCUUAUACUAAUACUAGUCAUAUUCAUUUCUGCUCUACCAUGAUGGGAACUCCCCUGUAUCCUUUUUUCUUAUGGUACGUUAUCUUUGCCUAUAAAAAAGCCUUAUCUGAGUAUGUUGUUAGAGUCAGAAGAGUCCUUUUAAAUAUCCAGUCUUGCGAAACCUUUGUAGACUGACUGGUUGAUUCUGGCUGCCCCUGAGGCAUGUAGAAGUUCCCAUGCCAGGGAUCAAACCCACACCACAGCAGCAAUCCCAGCCACUGCACUUAAAAUGCUUGAUCCUAAACCCACUGAGCCACCAGGGAAUUCUCUUUUGUGGUACAAGCAGGUUAAGGAUCCAGCAUUUUAAGUGCAAUGGCUUAGGUCACUGCUUUGGCACAGGUUUCCAUAUGCUGUGGGCAUGGUCAAAAAGAAAAAACAAACAAACAAACUUAAAUAUACAUAGAAAUAUUCACAUAUGGAACAUAUCUCCUGUCUCUUCUGAGACAGCCUAGAAAGCAGUGGCAUUCCAGCAGCCAUGAGCUUAUUAAAUGUCCAGUUAUUGGCUUAUGAACACAGCAUUUCAAUAAAAAGAACCAGAACUCCUUAGGUAAGAGGCUCUUUCUAGGCUGGGGCUGGAAAAGUAUAACAUGAGCCUGGAAAAUAUUCUUGCAUUACGAAGUAAAGAAAUACUCAAAGAAUAAUGUUAGUGUAUUAGCUUGCUAUUGCUACCCUAACAAAUUAACACAUUCCCAUAGCUUAAACAACACAAUUUUAUUAUAGUUCUGUAGGUCAUAUGUCCAGUGGGACCCAUCCCACUGGGCUAAACUCAAGGUGUUGGUAAAGCUGUGAUUUUUAUUCUGGAGGGUUUAAAGGAAAUUCUGUUCCUGCUCAUUUGAGUCGUUGGACAGUUUCAGUUCCUUGUGGUUAUAGGACUCCUCUUUUCUCAGUGGCUGUCAGAGCAUGUAAGAACAUUUAAAGAUAAAACAGUACCAAAUACAUAGAAAUUCUUCCAAAACAAGAUUCAAACACUUUCCAACUAGUUAAAUGAAUCCAGCACUGACACAAUACCAAAACUGGAUUAUGGUAUUAAACAUUACAAACCAACAUCCACACGAACACAGAUAAAACCAAGCCUAACCAAAAUUUUAGCAAACUGAGUCCAGACACAUACAACAAAAACACAUAAAUCAUAACCUAGUGCUGUAUAUCAGGAAUGCAAGGAUGAUUUAACAAUUGAAUCUAUAAUGUAAUCUGUAUUAUUAGACUAAAGUAAAGAUGCAGUAGAAGCAUUUCACAGAAUUCAAAACCAGUGAAUACUAAACAUUCUCUGGAAGUCAAUAUUAGAUGGGAACCUGAUAUGGGGCGCCUAAAAAAGACAAUGGCUAACAUACUGGAUGGUUAAAGCCUAAUGCUUUUGCCCUGGUAUUGGGAAUGAUGCAAACAUGUGUAUGCUCCUCAUUUCCACUUAACAUUGUACUACUAGAUAGAGGUCUGCAUUAUAAACAAGGGGGAAAUAAAGGCCUAAAGAUUAUGAAAGUAGUACGAAAACUGUCUAUUCACAUAAAGCACGAUUAUGUUGAAAAUUUGUACUUAUUCACUAAAAAGUUACUAGAUCAAAUGAUUGAGGAUGACUGAGUUUAGCAAGGUUCCAGGAUAAAAAGGCCAAUAUACAAAAAUUAUUUGCACUUCUAUAUAUUAGCAAUAAAUAUUUGGAAUUGUUAUUUUAUUCAAAUUACUUGGAAAUUGGUGGCACAGUGGGUUAAAGGAUCCGGUGUUGCCAUAGUAGGUUGAAACUCUGGCUCAGAUAUGACCCUUGGCCCAGGAACUCCAUAUGCCGAGGGGCAGCCAAAAAGAAGGGGAAAAAGAGCAUAGUCAAAAACUGUAAGAAAUUCUCAAACAACACUGAGAGAUAUUUAAGCCCUAAAAAGUUUCACGGUGAAUUCUACAAAACACUUAAAAGAAUAAAUAAUUUGUUCUUUCAGGAAAUAAAGGUCAAAUGCUUUCCAAUUCAUUUUAAGAGGCCAACAAAACUGAUAUAAAAAUCUAAUCAGGAGUUCCCAUCGUGGCUCAGUGGUUAACGAAUCCAACUAGGAACCAUGAAGUUGUGGGUUCGAUCCCUGUCCUUGUUCAGUGGGUUAAGGAUCCGGCGUUGCGGUGAGCUGUGGUGUAGGUCGCAGACGCGGCUCAGAUCUGGUGUUGCUGUGGCUCUGGGCAUGGACUAGCAGCAACAGCUCCGAUUAGACCCCUAGCCUGGGAAUCUCCAUAUGCCGCAGGAGCAGCCCUAGAAAAGGCAAAAAGACAAAAAGACAAAAAAAAAAAAAAAAAUCGAAUGAGUACAAUAAAAAUUACAGCGCUAUAGUCCUAAUUAAUACAGGUGGGAAAAAAAUCCUUAUUUUGAUUAAAAAAUAUAUAGCAAAUCAAAUCAAGAAAAGAGUAAAAAUAAAAAAAUACAAAUCACUAGGUUUUGUUAGACGAAAAUAUGGCUGACGAAACACGAGGGAAACAAUCAGUCUUCACCUCGAGAGGCGCUAAAGCUAUGGCCCCACCUCCCUCAAAUAAAGGCCCAGCUCCUCAAGUACCAUUCCAUGGCUGAUCCCUGCCCACCUGCUCUCUGAUCGCAGAGACAUAGCAUAGACUUGCGGUUCUAUAGCAUAGAACCUUGCAAGCUGAGUGCCACAUCCUAGAAAUGCACAUGCUAGUUCUUAUGCGUGGAACCCCUUGCAGACCUCAUCCUACUGGGUUCCAGAAAUGAGAAGUGCUCCACACAAUCCAUGGUCUCGAUUAAAGGCCAUGGGCCAAGAUGCCUCACCUCUGGGUACUCCCCACUUUAAGGCGGAGAGUGGAAAGCGGAAAGUCCUAGAACGACAGCAUGCUCUCUAUCAAGGCCCUGUGGCUAACGGCACGUAGGGUUCCAGUGGCUGGGGGCCUAAACCCCGCUUACCUGCGUCCCUCCCAGCGAGCGUCGCCGUCGGACCCUGUAAACCCGGCGGGCUCUUCAAGCUUGGUGGACUCCCCAUCUGUUCGGCCCUAGUCCGGGCGUGACCUCGGCUAACCCUUACUUUGCCUCUGUUUCCCUCGUGUGAAAGGCACCCAAGGCCCAGGACACCGCCUACAGGCACCAGGUGGGGGUCACAGCGUGCAGAGGAACAGAGGCAGGUCCUAUUUCUUCGCUCUCCUUCCUUACUUGAUUCCUAGGGGACCAUGGGAAGCAGUCCAAGGACCAGCGGAGCAGGGGUACCCACGCGGGAAACACU
rnacentral:lncRNA from 1 species